ensembl:lncRNA uncharacterized LOC114436583
AAAGAAGAAGAAGAGGAACACAAAAUGUCCGCUUCACCUUCUGCGUCACUCUUUGUGCUGCUUCUCGGUCUGCUGGGCUGUUCUCAGGCUGAGGUGCGUGGAAAUGUUCUUACUCCGCACAAAGGAUUCAUGAAACCUGCACACCGGCCAGUUUUGUUCACAUCACCUUGCUUACGUGUGUGAAUCAGAAAGUAUUCUGCAACAACCGAGGCUGUGAAUGUACUGUAGUCCCUGGAGAAGCACACUGUGGCCCGGGUGGAAAAAAACAACAAAAGGGAGGCCAAGAGGCAGAACGGACUGAAGCUGGAGGGAUACUACAACAACUCGGACUCCCGGAGCAUGUGGCAGGGCCUACGUCACAUCACAGACUUCCAGCAGAGGAGCAGUACGGUCACAGACACAGAACACGACCAGAUGAGCUGAAUGAGUUCUACGCUCGCUUCGACACCUCAACAAACAGCACAGAGGGAUUCUACCAGCAGAGGCAGCACAGAGCUCUUCACUCACUGUGACUUCAACGGAGGAGCGCGGGGCUCUGAAGAGGACAAACAGAGAGACGCACAGCCUUGAGGGAAUUAAUUAACAGAAAAUUCAAACUGCAGUGGCCCCGCCCCCUGCACAGCAUAUAAAUACAAGCAGCAGCUUCCGCUCUCUCGCAACGAACAUCUUCAAAAUGAUGUCACAGUUGCUGCACGUCUUGGAGCAGACGUCAUUCUGCCAUGUCACGCUGAGAGGAGCAUCAACACUGCAACAUGGCGCUUAAAAGAAGAUCCUAACAGAUUUGUCCUGUAUCGAAAUGGAGCCUCUGAUCAUAAGAAAAAGCUGCUUCCAUCUUUUAAGGGUCGGGUGGGUCUGAAGGAGGGAUGGAAGGAGGAUGGAGACGCAUCUCUGACUCUGAAGAAUGUGACGACUGAGGACAGCAGGACAUAUGAGUGCCGAGUCAAAUGGAACGGGAUGGAUGAUUCUUAUGGAGCUCCGCUCAUCAGCACAGUCACUCUGACAGUCCUGCCAAACCACAGGGAGUGUGCACAGGGAAACCGCAGCAGAAGAGCUGCUGACUGUGCAGGUCACAGUGGAGGAGACGAGGAAGGAGGAGACAAGGAAGGCAGCAGAGGAGGACAUGUUGGACUGGUUGUUGGAGUCACUCUUCUUGUGAUUGUUGUUGCUGUUGUUGGUUUUAUGAUCUAUAGAAGACGCCAGAUGAGGAGCAGCCCUCCUCCUCCUGAUGAAGCAGUUAAUGAUCAGCUGGUCUGAGUUGAAGCACUUGGUGACAUUUCCAGCAGCAGACCAACCAGAGCGUCUGUAGAUCAGUGUUACUUUAACCUUUUUGACCCACGGCAGAUAUUGUACAAACAAACCCCAUGGAACAGCUGCUCUCUGUGUCGCUCACAGUGGACGCUACCUCAACUCAGUGCAGUCAGGGCUGCCGGACCAACUCAAUGACUGUCACUAUACGUUACUGGCACACACGAACCAAGACAAAUUAUUUACUGUAAACAAAUAAUAAUUAAUGGACCAAUUAAGUGACAUUGGAUAACUUCGGCAGCACGGUGAGCUCUCACAGCACACAGGUUAAACACUGCUGUAGCCUUCACCUGUCAUGUGACCCCUCCUUGAACUGCCACCUUACCGUGGUGGAGGGUCUGAGAGCUCAGAGGAUGCUGGGAGCUGAACUGUCUGCAGCUCUGAGCUGCUGGUAGGGUCUCCCAUGGCAGACUGGUCCCAGCUGAUGAGCCAGACUAAGAGCAGUUCAUUGAUCAGUGAUGUGCUCUUCUUUUAAAGUGUCAAUCAAUCAAUCAAUCAAUCAAUCAAUCGGGCUUUAUCUAUAAUUAAUCAUCACUGACAGAAUCUUUAUAUGAAAGAAAAAUCAUUUUAACCCUCACAGUGCCUCUAGCUGAGUUUAAAGUGUGUCCACUGUGUGAGUCUGUGUUGGUCUGUGUGGGUCUGUGUUGGUCUGUGUGGGUCUGUGUUGGUCUGUGUGGGUCUGUGUGGGUCUGUGUUGGUCUGUGUGGGUCUGUGUUGGUCUGUGUGGGUCUGUGUUGGUCUGUGUGGGUCUGUGUGGGUCUGUGUUGGUCUGUGUGAGUCUGUGUUGGUCUGUGUUGGUCUGUGUUGGUCUGCUGUGUGCACAGAGCUGCUCAGACAGAGGCUGCAUCAUAACAUGUGUCACAUGCAGACCUGGUGUCUCUCUUGAUGGUUCAGGUGCAGCAGGAUCUCUGAGCAGCUCUGUGUCAGGACCUCCACCCUGUCACCAAGUGAUAAAGAGCUGCUCGUCUUCACUCUGUGACUCAGCUCAAAGCUUCUUCAAGCUUAUGAAAUGCACUUUAUCUUUAUAUUUGGAUAAUGUUCUGAAUAAGACUAUAGCCUGUUAUUAAUGUUGGUAAUAUUCAGUGAUGAGUUCUGCAUGAAUCAGUUGGAGGAAUGUUUCACUCCUGUUACUCUGAUGGAUCUAAAUGUUUAUUGAACUGUAGCUACAUUAAUGAGCUCUGAUGCUCACAUGAUGAUGUCAUACUAAACUGUUAGCUAAGAAUCAGAAUCAGAAUCGAGUUUAUUGCCAUGUAAGUGAAAAACACAUUACUAGGAAUUUGCCUUAGUGUCUAGUGCAGGGGUGGGCAAUUAUUUUUUUGCGAGGGCCACAUAGACUUCCAUUAGAAAAGCAAAGGGCCACAUUUCUUUCAUAAAUAAUAAUAUGAAUUGAAUUGGAGAUCACUGGCACAGUAUCUUUAUAAAUAUGCUCUUGUUUCAUCACUGUAAGCAGUGUGUGGUGGCAUCUCGGUGUCACAUCGGUCGGCGAGUUGGUCAUUGGGGUUUAUAAAGGUCAAAUAUACACCUGUAUGCUUAUCUGUGAUAGUUUUAAAGCUACAAGAAUUUUGAAUCAAGUUGUUAGUCAAAUCUUAAUUCCCUCAGUUAGUUCUGGGUGAUAAGAUGAAUAAAUACAUGCUUACUUGAACCCUGCCUGGACCU